UACGGAGGGGGCGAGCGUUGUCCGAAGUUACUGGGCGUAAAGCGCGCGUAGGCGGGUUGGUAAGUCCGCUGUGAAAGCCCGGAGCUUAACUCCGGAGGUCGGUGGAUACUGCCAGUCUUGAAGGUGCUAGGGGGAGAUGGGAAUUACCGGUGUAGCGGUGAAAUGCGUAGAUAUCGGUAGGAACACCAGUGGCGAAGGCGGUCUCCUGGGGCAUUCUUGACGCUGAGGCGCGAAAGCUGGGGGAGCAAACGGG
rnacentral:rRNA from 1 species